rnacentral:tRNA from 1 species
GGAGAGAUGGCCGAGUGGCUUAAGGCGCAGCAUUGGAAAUGCUGUUUAGGAAUUAUCUUAACGAGGGUUCGAAUCCCUCUCUUUCCG